CGAACGGAAGCUGCUCUUGAAUGAUAUCUAUUGGACAGUUUAUGUGCUACUUUUUUUGAUAACUCAGUAUUCAGUUCAAGUACCCGACUAAUCCAGGGGGACCAAUCUCACCGUCCACUAGUGGGCGGACCCAAUUAAAGGUAUGGACUGACCCAACUCAGGAAUUGAUAGCAACUAGGAGGUUUCGAAUCAGAGAUCUUGGAAGGGAAUAGACCUCCAAGUCUGAGACCUAAACCACCAGGUCAACUCUGAGGUUUGUUUACGUGCUACUUGAAAUUGAAAUGCAAUAGUAUAAUAAGAAAUGACAAUAAAGUGCUAAUCUCCAGGAUGAAAAGCGUUUUACAAAUUCACCACCACCUUGUUUUUGUUUUUCCAGGGAACUCCAGUCGUGUUCCUCAAAUGCAGGCAUUUUGAUUUAAGACGUUAUAAGGAGAGAAGACCAGACUGUUCACGAAAUCCAUUUGUAUAUUACACGUUGUACAUAUACACUGCCACCUAAAAGGAAAAAAAAAUAUAUGUACCUAAUUCUUUUAUAGCUUCUUUGUAAAAGGCAUGAACGAAGAAGAAAGAAAGAAAAAGCACUUGAUUUUGCCUAUGUUUAGACAAUGUAAACCUUUUCUUUCAUUUGAAGAUUCUUGUGACCAGAUGUUUCUUUUAUACCCAUUGUUGCAUUUGUAUUUCAAUGUCCGCUUUGCCUUACGUUGUAAUCCAUUUUGUCGCCUCACACAGCCUAUGCAGGA
rnacentral:lncRNA from 1 species